ACAUGCGGCCAUACUAAAUGAUGAUGUACCGGAUCCCAUCUCGAACUCCGAAGUCAAGGCAUUUCAGGCAGGGCUAGUACUGACGAUAGAGAUGAGUCCGGAACCCCCUGUGCCGCAUGU
rnacentral:rRNA from 13 species